rnacentral:rRNA from 1 species
CAAUAGCGUAUAUUUAAGUUGUUGCAGUUAAAAAGCUCGUAGUCGGAUUUUGGCUGAGAACGAUCGGUCCGCCGUUAGGUGUGCACUGAUUGGUCUCAGCUUACUGGUGAGGAGGUGUGCUUCACGGCCACUUAGUCACCGUGGUUACUUUGAAAAAAUUAGAGUGUUCAAAGCGGGCUUACGCUUGAAUAUAUUAGCAUGGAAUAACACCAUAGGACUCCUGUCCUAUUUCGUUGGUCUCGGGACGGGAGUAAUGAUUAAGAGGAACAGUUGGGGGCAUUCGUAUUUCAUUGUCAGAGGUGAAAUUCUUGGAUUUAUGAAAGACGAACUUCUGCGAAAGCAUUUGCCAAGGAUGUUUUCAUUGA